GGACUACUGGGGUAUCUAAUCCUGUUUGCUCCCCACGCUGUCGCGCCUCAGCGUCAGCAACGGCCCAGCAGAACGCCUUCGCCACUGGUAUUCUUCCCGAUCUCUACGCAUUCCACCGCUACACCGGGAAUUCCAUCUGCCCCUACCGUGCUCUAGCUCGCCAGUCUCACCGGCAGCCCCGCCGUUGAGCAGCGGGAUUUCACCAGUGACUUAACGGGCCGCCUACGCGCCCUUUACGCCCAGUGAUUCCGGACAACGCUCGCACCCUCCGUAUUACCGCGGCUGCUGGCAC
rnacentral:rRNA from 1 species